rnacentral:rRNA from 1 species
UACAGAGGUGGCAAGCGUUGUUCGGAAUUACUGGGCGUAAAGGGCGAGUAGGUGGCCAUCUAAGUCAGACGUGAAAUCCCCCGGCUUAACCUGGGAACUGCGUCUGAUACUGGUUGGCUUGAGUGCAGGAGAGGAACGCGGAAUUCCAGGUGUAGCGGUGAAAUGCGUAGAUAUCUGGAGGAACACCGGUGGCGAAGGCGGCGUUCUGGACUGCAACUGACACUGAGGAACGAAAGCGUGGGGAGCGAACAGG